rnacentral:lncRNA from 10 species
GUCAGGACAGGUGAUGCUGGCAGGAAGGGAGCCAGCCUGCGACGUGCUGGGAAGACAGGCAGAGAGACUAUACGUUCAAAGGGUGUGAGGCAGGCAUGAGUUUGCAGAAAGUGUGCUAAGGGCCUGGAGCAGAGCAGCAAUAGAGCAGCAUCUUGGACCAGGGUGGUGGCUGAGGAGACAGGAUCAUGGCUUUGAGAUACAUUCUGAAGAAGAAAAGUAGGCCUUGCUGAUAGAAUAGUCACAAACUGUAAUGGAAAAGGGCAUCAGUGCUAUUCUGGAGGCCCAAAUCACACAUGAUUCCGUGAAAGAAACUCUGUGCUGGCCAGAGGAUGCACUCACUCUCCAGGCUUUCCUGCAUGGGCCCUCACCAUGGAGUCCUGGAUACUUAGGGCAUCUGGUUGACCACAUGCUUGGGAGAGCACCAAAGAAGGUCCUGGUUUUCAAGCCUCCAGCUUCUCCUUAGAAAGAGUUGACUACCUGUCUGGGCUCCAACUUUUCUGGCUGCUACCAGAGGGUCUGGCCUCUAAACCAUCUGUGUCAAAGAACUGACAGGGCCUGACAUUCACUGGGACCCUAGGCUAGGGGUGACAGAGAGCAAAGCAAAAGUUUGAAAGA